GAUGGACGCUGUCUACAGGCUUAACACAUGCAAGUCGAGGGGAAACGACGGGGAAGCUUGCUUCCCCGGGCGUCGACCGGCGCACGGGUGAGUAACGCGUAUCCAACCUGCCUCUGACUGAGGGAUAACCCGUCGAAAGUCGGCCUAAUACCUCAUGGCAUCGUCUGCGGGCAUCCAACGACGAUUAAAGAUUUCAUCGGUCAGGGAUGGGGAUGCGUCUGAUUAGCUUGUUGGCGGGGUAACGGCCCACCAAGGCUACGAUCAGUAGGGGUUCUGAGAGGAAGGUCCCCCACAUUGGAACUGAGACACGGUCCAAACUCCUACGGGAGGCAGCAGUGAGGAAUAUUGGUCAAUGGGCGGGAGCCUGAACCAGCCAAGUAGCGUGCAGGAUGACGGCCCUAUGGGUUGUAAACUGCUUUUAUGCGGGGAUAAAGUGAGGGACGUGUCCUUCAUUGCAGGUACCGCAUGAAUAAGGACCGGCUAAUUCCGUG
rnacentral:rRNA from 1 species